GAUGAGGCUAUAGACAAUGGUCAAAGAAAAUAUUUCAAAGUAGGGGCUAAUGUAAAUUUAUUACCAAUUUUAUUUUGGCUCUGGGAAUAAUAAAAAUCACUUCCUAAAUGAUGAGGAUGCGAACGAAAAUAUUAAUAAAGUGCAAAGAUGUUGACCAAGUGCAGACAAGGAUAAAAGAAAACUGUUUAAAAAUUCAGAGUAGGGAGCCAACUUCGUACUCCUUUCGUCACCUAAUGGCCAAAGAAUAUCGAAUGAAAUACAGUAAAACCUCGAUUUUACGGACUUCGGAUUUUACGGACACCAUCCCAAAAAAUAAAAUAAAUAAUA
rnacentral:lncRNA from 1 species